rnacentral:lncRNA from 1 species
UAAUGAGGCCUGGUCCAAUGCUCUGUGUUUUUUUAUGAUUUUAUUUCUUUUUUCUUUUUUUAUUUUAAAUUUCUUUUUCUUUUAAAAUUCAUAGAAAAUUCAUCUUUAAUCCGAAAUAUCCCAAAAUAAUUUCUAAACUUUCCUUUUAUUUUUCGUCAUCUGCUUUUAUUUUUUCAUAUUUUAUUUUCUUGGAUUUUUUAUUUUCCCCGUUGUUUAAUUGGUUUAAAAAUAUUUUUAUGCAUUUAAAAUUUCUGAAAAAAUU